GCAGACAUUCGUUAACAAACCUCACAUGAUCAGACUAACAACUGAUCCAAACAGUAAUCUUGGAUUGGAUUAGGGUUUCUACAAGCAAAAUCCUCUUAGAAAACAGGCAAAUUAUUAAUGGAAUGAAUAUCUGUCUGUGGAGAGUUGAAUGAUGACACUUGAGAUUACUCAAACUCAAGCCUAUGAUGAGCCAUGGUACCGGGACAACCGCCACACUGAGGAUCCUGGCCCCUCUGAUUGGUACCAAAACUACCCUUCUCUUUCACCUCUCCUCCGCCUCUACAUCCACCUCAACCACCACCGUGUCCUCGUUGUCGGCUGUGGCAAUUCCGCGUUUAGUGAGUACAUGGUUGGUGAUGGAUAUGAGGAUUUUGUAAAUAUUGAUAUAUCCUCUGUCGUGAUUGAGGCUAUGCAGAAGAAGUAUUCCAAUCGCCCCCACCUCACAUGUGUAUAUCUUCUAUUCGUUUGAGCCAAUCUACAAUUUAUGAUCUUUUAUGAUUGUAGCUCCUUAAUAAAGGAUAACAUUGUUAAUCUUCACAUAUCAUACAAACCCAAGGAAUGGGAUACACUCAGAUCGUUACAUUGGGAAUCUAAGGUGCGGUUGCUUCUCUUCUUGUAACUCUUCUAGCCAAACAAAGCUAAACAUAUUCAAAAGCAGCUUCUUAGUUUCAAAUGUAGCUUUUGGUUCUUAAAAGCCCUGCCAAAUGAACCUUAAAUCUACUUCUAUAAGUGAGAACUGAUAGGAAUAUAUUGUCUGGCAACAUAGGCUAAUUUAUUGUGUGGAUGCAACUUAAACUCAAGUAGCUUAUAUUUGAGUAGAUUAUAACAAUAUUAGAGAUCAUUAUAAAUCAUUUUUCGUUAAAUUGUUAGUGUUUUAUUGUUGUUAUUAUUCAAGUUCUAGUUCUAGCUUCUUCUUAGAGGAUUGAUUGGCCUAGAUUUCAAGAAUAUGAAUAUUUAUGGUGGCAUAAGGGAAUUAUGCUAAGAUUUAAAGAUGUUCUCAUUGAAGUUCUAUUUUUACGAAGUUUGCUUGUCUUGAAUUUUAUGAAAUCUUUUACAAGUACAUUUCAUGAGAAUUUGAUGUACCGACAAAGGAAGAAGUCCGUAAUUUCCUUGUCGAGGAAGUACACUAUUUUUAUCGUAAUUCAGUUAGACCCAAAGACAUGCAGAAGGAAAGAAAGAAAAAAGCAGGAUCAUAGACAGAAAUGAUAUUGAUCCCUUAUAUGGCCAACUUAUAUUUUCCUAAAGUCUGAUAAGAUAUUAAAAUGGAUGUCUGAGACAUGAGUACAUUUAAAAUGGGAUCCUCGAUGCUGUCAUUGACAAAGGUAUUCCUUUUAAGAAUUUUUAUAUGAACUAUGAAAUAAAUUAUUUGCAGAUUCUAAUGUCUUUUCGACAUGGUCUUCCAGGAACUAUGGACUCUCUUCUGGUGAGUACUCUAUGUUGCAAUAGAUUUAUAAACAAACCAUAUUACAAAGUUGAGUAUUUUCUUGCAGUGUGGAUACAACUCAUAGCAAAAUGCUACUAAAAUGCUUGAAGAAGUCUGCAGGUAUUAAAAAAAAAAAAAAAAUGUUUGAGAUCUCACCUCAAGAAUUUGAAGAACAAAUUUAUUACAAAAUUCCAUGAUCAUAUCAGGAAUUGUCGAUCUAAAUAAUCAUUUGGAAUGCACAGUUGAAUGAGCCUCCUCGAAUUUGGCAAAGAAGGGUCUUUACCUGUUCACUAUAGUUCCUGCCUGAUUCAGCUUUCAACAUCGACAACUUAUCAUGUUGAACCUUAUGGUUGGUCUCCAGCAUGGCAGGUUGAUUGUGUCCAAGUACAUGAUGCUUGAUGAAGUCCACAAAUUCAUUCAUAUCAGGGAGAGAGGAAUUCGUGGCAGUGACAUUCUUGAUUGUGUCCUUGUUCAGGACUUCAAUGAACUGAUCCUUUAGUUUGGCAAAAGUGUUGCGAGCUUUUCUUAACUCCUUACCAAAGUGCAAAACUGUUGUAUUAUGAUUGAAAUUUGAUCCUUCAUCUGAUUCUGGUGACAGAAUUUGUUCAGUUAUUUUGCCAGCAUUUGUAGCUGAUUUUCAUGCAUGCAUGAAGCACUCGAUGGAAUUCCGGCUGCACAAAGUUGAAGGCUUCCUUGAUUCCUGUUAAACUCC